UGGGGGAAUAUUGGGCAAUGGGCGAAAGCCUGACCCAGCGACGCCGCGUGAGGGAAGAAGGUCUUCGGAUUGUAAACCUUAGUCAACAGGGAAGAAGAAAGUGACGGUACCUGUGGAGGAAGCCACGGCUAACUACGUGCCAGCAGCCGCGGUAAUACGUAGGUGGCGAGCGUUAUCCGGAUUUACUGGGUGUAAAGGGCGUGUAGCCGGGAGGGCAAGUCAGAUGUGAAAUCCACGGGCUUAACUCGUGAACUGCAUUUGAAACUACUCUUCUUGAGUAUCGGAGAGGCAAUCGGAAUUCCUAGUGUAGCGGUGAAAUGCGUAGAUAUUAGGAGGAACACCAGUGGCGAAGGCGGAUUGCUGGACGACAACUGACGGUGAGGCGCGAAAGCGUGGGGAGCAAACAGGGAUUAGAUA
rnacentral:rRNA from 1 species